GUUUAAAGUGCAUAGGGAGAGAUUGUUUUCUUUCCCCCUCCUUGCACCUAGCAGGGAGAGGAGUGUGCGGAAAGAUGGAGUUGAGACAGAAACUUGUUAGCAUAACACCGAAGGAGUUUUGCUGUGAGUAGCAUCAGCAUAGCAGGAGAACAUCCCUAGCUCUCCUGCCGCUGCUCUGCCACAAGGAGAGAAAGGGAAAAGCAAAUUCAGCAGGACCUCUAGGACUUUGCUGUAGAUCUCCAGGUGGAGCCAGGACCCUCCAGGAGAACUGAUGGCUAGAAAAGACUGCAAGUAAUGUGGAGGAAGGAAGAAGAGAGAGAGCAGAGAGAGAUGAUUCUUGCAAACAUUGAUCUGUGUAGAGCGGAUGUCAACUUGAUGGGAUAAGACCUGGGUUGACUUGGUAUCUGGGUUCAGGUCAGCAAACUCUAACGGCAUUUCCUUCUACUAGCAGACAGAUCUGCUCAUCCUGCGACAUUGUGGACAGUGCUGAAUGGCUUCCAGAACAUUCCUCUUAUGUCUACUGGUUAAACUUUGAAGCAUCUGAACCAUUUGGGAGAGCAGGGACCCCCAUGAACAGGAGAUACUGGAGGUGUCUGAGGCCACUUCAUGCCCUUUCUCAAGAGUGGCCUGCAGGUCUUUCAGCCACUGGCCACUGAAGUCCAGCUCCUGCCAGCCAUGGAUUUGGGCACUGGGCUCCAGUGUUGAGAAAGUUCUUGACUUCCAGCGCUUGUUUUCCUAGUGGACAAUAGGAGUCAGAGACAGAGAGGGAGAGUGAAGAUGCAGAAGACAUAUCCUUUCCAUUGUGACCCAGAUAAGAAUGUAGCCGGUGAGCUUGCUUCCUGUCACUCAUUUCCCAGCUAUUUAGGAAACAAGAAAAAAGCCUGCCAUGCAGAAAGUCACUGAGAAACCUGCUGGCCUCCAUGGUGGCACGUGGGGGAGGGAGGAGAAGAAAACUCCUGAAAGAAUGUGGACCACACAGCAUGCUCUGGUGGGUAUGUGGGCUGACAAAGAACAGGGAGCGCUAACAGUGAAAAUGAAGAGCCUGCCCCGCCUCCCAGCGUGGACCUUGACCUGGGGCCAGACCAAGGCCACUUUAUAGAAACGUCCCUGGAGCGUGUCUCAGGUGGCCCUGCCUGCAUCCUGGCCUACCUCUGGGGCCCUUCUUACCCACAGUCCUACUUUCCACCCACCUUGACCCCAAGAGGUGUUCAUUUAUAACGCCCCUGCAUCUUCUCAACUUCAAAGUCAGCUCGGACCUCGUUCACCCAGACAAGACCUUGGCUGAGUCUUGACAAACUGGCACAGGGUCCCCCGACAGAAGACAGCUUUCCUUUCUCUUUGCUUUCCUUUAUCUUAGCCGAGUCCGGCCUCCCCAGCACUCUUUUCCAUCUGGGGACAGUUCGUGCUGGUGGGAAUUGGCAGGGGCACACGGUCCAGACAGAGACAACUGAAACACAGGUGUCCCGCUGGUGUGCCAGCAGGGCGGCCGUCCUACCAGGAGCAGGACACUUUGUUGGCCACUGCCCAUGCAAUAAUCAGCGUGGGACAAACAGUCCCAUGGGGAGUGAGGUGAUGUGAAGAAAAGGAAGCCGAAGAAGAGAAGAAGCUGAAGGGCCAGUAAACACACACAUAGACGCUCACCCUCCCCUUCGUUGGAAAAAUGAACGGCUGCUGUUGCCGAGGGCUGGUGAGGAUGAGGCCCCAGGCCUGCAGGAGGGCACAUCCGGUUGGCCGCCUCGACGGGGCCAUCUGGGUAGCUGCUGCCCUUUGCAUGUAAAUAAAGCUCCUCAAAGCCCCAUUUCACAACUGCUGGGAGAAACAGCAUCCUUCCCUCCUUCCCUAUAUUUCCAGGGAGGAGGUGGCUGGUUUUUUUUGUUGUUGUGUUUUUUUUGUUUGUUUGUUUUGUUUUGUUUUGUGGACCCAGAGCCAUCAGCUGCUUCCUGGGGGAAGUGGUGGUGGCUGGGGAGGGGGAUCGUGAUUCUGCUGCAGGAUAAUUGCCAAGGACAGAGGGAGGGCUGUGUUCUCCUGCCUGAAGAUGGAAGUAAAGGAACAUUUUAACUGGGCAAAACCCUUCAAUCCUAGCCCAGCUGAGCAGGGAGUUGGUUUUCGAAAGCAGAGCUAUACGGACAGCCCCUGUGCCGGAUAUGACCUCCUAUAUUAAGAAAAAGUGGAAAAAACAGAACUGAAAGGAGUAGAGAUCUUCCUACAGUGCCAAGGCAGGCUUUAAGUCAGCUUUAGAAAUAAAUCAGCUGUGAGCAAAUAACACCUCGCACAGUGCUCGGUCCUCAGCAACUACUCAGUUAAAGUCUGUUGAACGGAUCAGGGAUAACUGAACUCAGGAAUCUAAGGAAUAAGCAUGAUAUAAUUAAUUGCAGCUCUGGUCUUAAGAUUUCCUUGGGUUUCACCCCUGGCUGAGAUGAUACCACAAGGGAGCCUCUCUGUUGCCUCCCGCAGCCCUGCCCUGAGCUGAGACCCAUCUGUAGGGCGUCAGGGCAGGAGGCGGCUGCAGCUUUCCCCAAAGAUGAGUGAGCUCACGCCACAGCUUGGAGAAAGGAGGCACGAGCACAGUCAUGUUACCGAGGCCAGGGCAGGGCUGAAGCCCCCCUCUCUCCAUAGCCGUGUCUUACUAUGACAAGGAACAAGUUUUUUCUCCACUUUUCCCUCCACUCCUAGGUUCAGGUCAACAUGAGGGUGACCAUCGCCAGGGUCAGUGCAUUUGGUAGGAGACCAGGGACCGUUUCUGGGAAUGUCAGGAAUCUUGUCUUUCAAAUGCUCACUUCACUUCACAGCCCCUGCGAGUGCCCUGAACCUUUGCAAGGUAUGUUCUAAGAAAGGGAACAAGGCCGGGCGCGGUGGCUCACGCCUGUAAUCCCAGCACUUUGGGAGGCUGAGACGGGUGGAUCACGAGGUCAGGAGAUUGAGACCAUCCUGGCUAACAUGGUGAAACCCCGUCUCUACUAAAAAUACAAAAAAUUAGCCAGGCAUGGUGGCGGGUGCCUGUAGUCCCAGCUACUCGGGAGGCUGAGGCAGGAGAAUGGCGUGAACCCGGGAGGCAGAGCUUGCAGUGAGCCAAGAUCGCGCCACUGCACUCCAGCCUGGGUGACAGAGCGAGACUCCAUCUCAAAAAAAAAAAACUUUCCCUCAUCAACUAUUUGAUGAUGUAAGGUGCAGUUUAUAUAAAGCCAGAUACAUGCUGGAUUCUUUUCCCUUACUGACCAGUUUUUAAAACGAGUUGGUUUCCUAGUCUCCUGCAACCAGUGAUUUUGAUACAGAAUGGUUGGGCUCCUGGCUAAACCCCACCCUUGGGCCUGGAGCCGCAGCCCUAAGUGAAAACAGCUGACCCCGUUUUCCACCCAAAUGUUGCCUUUUUGGCCUGCCAUGCCCCUAUCCUGUGCCCAUAAAAAGACUUCAGCUGGCAGAGCAACACAAGCGGCUGAUGCAAGGGGUCGGGGAUGCAAGCUGCUGAACGUAGGGGAUGCAAGCGGCUGAGCAUCAGAGACUACAGAUAGACGCAGCUAACCUCAGACGGUGCAGCUUCAGGGAAAGAUCACCUUCUUCCCGCACCAUCCCCUUUCCAAUUCCCCAUUCUGCUGAGAGCCACAUCCAUCGACCAAUAAAAUCCUCUGCAUACACUACCCUUCAAUCUGUUCCUGUGACCUAAUUCUUCCUGGACACCAAACAAGAACCUGGGUGCCGAGAGGGCAAGGGCUUGGAUGCUGCUGUGGGGCCUGCGCAGAGUCUGCUCUCAUCAGAGAGGAGCGACCAGCUGUUUCCAGCAUUUGUUCCCUCCAGUUCCAGCACUCACCUGCUCACACGCUCCCUCUCGCGAGGAGUGGCCAGCAGCGGGCUGAGUGAAAUGCGCCACUCCAGUUCCCGCCUACAAAGCAUGUCAAGGUCAAGGGAACAAUCCCGUCUCAAUUUGUUGCAGUAGAUAUUGCUCUUGGUUUUGAGUAUCGGUAUGAAGGAAUGGACUUAAACAGAGGAAUGUGUUUUCUUCCGUUGCUAUUUGUGUUCUUAUUGAUGCUCAAGUGGUCACAUUUUCAGCAAGAGGCAGCCUUAGCAAUGUAACAUGAAUGAUGGCUUUGAUUUACGUAGUGAUGAAAGUGAUGUGUGGUUGUGUAGACAUCAUCUAUGAUGAUCUCAUCCAGAAGGGCCCUCAGUGACAGCCUCUCAUGUGUAAGGGACUGGCCAGAUCCCAUGCCACAAGGAAUUUCUUUAUGGCCUCAUCACCUAUUUGUCUGCUUCAUUCACACAAGUGUGGUUCAGAUGAAUGAAUAAAUGGAUGGGUAAACUUCUGUAGGCCACCAGGCAAAAGUUACAUUAUGUCAACUGCUCCUGAAUACAUGUGGUAUAACAACCAUUGGUAGUCUUCAUAAGACACUAAGCUGAGGCAGUGAGGUAGAAGUGGCAGGCAGGAAGAGGGUAAAAAUAUGUAUUGA
rnacentral:lncRNA from 1 species